AACGUAGGACGCAAGCGUUAUCCGGAAUUACUGGGCGUAAAGCGCGUGUAGGUGGUUGCAUAAGUCACUGUUGAAAGCUCCCGGCUAAACUGGGAGAGGUGCGGUGAGACUGUGCGGCUAGAGUAUGGGAGAGGGAUGCAGAAUUCCGGGUGUAGUGGUGAAAUGCGUAGAGAUCCGGAGGAAUACCAGAGGCGAAGGCGGCAUCCUGGCCUGAAACUGACACUGAGACGCGAAAGCAUGGGGAGCGAACGGGAUUAGAAACCCCCGUAGUCC
rnacentral:rRNA from 1 species